CUGCUUCUCCCUCUGUUCGAGAAUACUUGUCAUCAUAAUGGAUAAAAAUGAAUGUAUCUAGAACUAAAAUACAUUUAGAUACAUGCCCUCUUAUUUAUUUUGAUGACAAGUAUUUCCAGAUGGGGAGCACGUA
rfam:Triticum aestivum genome assembly, contig: Triticum_aestivum_CS42_TGACv1_scaffold_160921_2DL